AAGUAUAUAAUUUAUAUUUAUUUUAUAAAAAAAAUAUUUUUUUAGUGAGUAUUUUUAAGAACAUAGGGAUUUUAAUAAUAGUUAAAUGUAUAGUGAUAGGACAUUGAAAUAUAAUGAAAGUAGACUAAAUAAAAGAAGAGUUAAUUUUUUGUACCUUGUGUAUCAGGGUUUAUUAAAAAUAUUAAAUUAGUUUGAGUUCUCGAAUUAAUAAGAGCUAAUAUUAUAUAAGUAUAGUUGUGGCAUAAACUUUCAUAAUAUAAUAUUAGAAAUGAAACGUUAUACGUUUUUUAAGAUAUCUAGUUUUUUAAGAAAUAAAUUUAAUUUAGUUUGAAUAUUGGGUAUAGUUAAUUAUAUAAUUAUACUUAUAUACAAGGCAAUACUUUAAGGGAUAAGCUUUAAAGUAAAUAAUUAUAAUUAUUUAUUUUAUGUUAGUGAAUAAAUGUAGGAUUGGAAGUUUUUAUCAAUAGUGUGUUAUAAUUAAUUUUCAUGGACUAUAAGAUUUAUAUAUUAAUUUAAGUUAUUUAUUAAAAUGAUAUAUUUAAUAGGGAAUUGUAUGUAAUAAUGAUAUAAUUAGUAUAAUUUUAUGUAUGAAUAAAUUAGGUUAUUUAGGUUAAUUUAAGGAACUCGGCAAAUAUAUUUUUCGCCUGUUUAUUAAAAACAUGUCUUUUUGAUUAUAAUUUAAAGUCUGACCUGCCCAAUGAGGAGUUGAAUGGCCGCGGUAUUUUGACCGUGCAAAGGUAGCAUAAUCAUUAGUUUUUUAAUUGAAAGCUGGUAUGAAUGGUUGGACGAGAAAAUAACUGUCUCAAUUUAAUUUUAAUUAGAACUUUAUUUUUAAGUAAGAAAGCUUAAAUGAAUUUAAAAGACGAGAAGACCCUAUAGAGUUUUAUAUUUUUUUAUAUUAAAUUAAUUUAGUAACUUGGAGUUUUAAUAUAAAAAAGUAUUUUGUUGGGGUGACAGAAAAAUUAAAGUAACUUUUUUUAAUUAGCAAACAUUAAUUUAUGAUUAAUUGAUCCGUAUAUUACGAUUAUAAGAUUAAAUUACCUUAGGGAUAACAGCGUAAUUUUUUUUGAGAGUUCAUAUCGAAAAAAGAGUUUGCGACCUCGAUGUUGGAUUAAAAUUAACUUUUGGUGUAGGAGCUAAAAAGGUUAGGUCUGUUCGACCUUUAAAAUUUUACAUGAUCUGAGUUUAAACCGGCGUGAGCCAGGUUGGUUUCUAUCUUUAAAAUAAUAAAAUAUCUUAGUACGAAAGGACCAGGUAUUUAUAAUAUUUAUUUUUAUUUGAUUAUUAGUG
rnacentral:rRNA from 1 species